GAUGAACGCUGGCGGCGUGCCUAAUACAUGCAAGUCGGGCGAACGGACGAGAAGCUUGCUUCUCUGAUGUUAGCGGCGGACGGGUGAGUAACACGUGGAUAACCUACCUAUAAGACUGGGAUAACUUCGGGAAACCGGAGCUAAUACCGGAUAAUAUUUUGAACCGCAUGGUUCAAAAGUGAAAGACGGUCUUGCUGUCACUUAUAGAUGGAUCCGCGCUGCAUUAGCUAGUUGGUAAGGUAACGGCUUACCAAGGCAACGAUGCAUAGCCGACCUGAGGGGGUGAUCGGCCACACUGGAACUGAGACACGGUCCAGACUCCUACGGGAGGCAGCAGUAGGGAAUCUUCCGCAAUGGGCGAAAGCCUGACGGAGCAACGCCGCGUGAGUGAUGAAGGUCUUCGGAUCGUAAAACUCUGUUAUUAGGGAAGAACAUAUGUGUAAGUAACUGUGCACAUCUUGACGGUACCUAAUCAGAAAGCCACGGCUAACUACGUG
rnacentral:rRNA from 1 species